rnacentral:lncRNA from 1 species
UUUGUUUUGUUUUUGUUUUCCCCUUUGCUGAGCUUGGAAAAGUGGUUGUGGAAUGGAUCGGUUUACAUUUCUUUUUGAGUAUAUACCAACUGUAUUAAGAGUUAAAUAUGAAAAAGGAUGAAAAUAAGUACGAAAGACAACAUCCGUUCUCAUUUCAAUUUCCUGGAAGGAAAGUGCGGUUGGGCAGAUGGUGCUUUUUUGUUUUACUAAACUGAAUGAUCAGAUGUAAAUAAUAUAACCAUAUAAACUAUAAAGAUCGUUGGAGGUGGCUGAAUUGUACCUUAGCUAUUUCUGUUCCCAUCCAUGGAGAACCAGGACACUGAGUUUCUGGUUAAACAGGUAGAGGAGAGUGGCUGGUAAUUUGGCAUCACGUGAGUCUCGAUAUUUCUCUAUUAUUGUUAAUUUUCUUCAUACCCUGGCUUUAUUAUGUGUUAGGUGAAUUUUUUUUUUUAGUUUGAUGUGAUUUUUAUGUGUUUGGAGCUCUGCUUUUAUUUGCUUUCUACGUUGGAACACUAAAUAUUCCUAGGAUGUAGAAGAAUUUGUGUUCUCUGGUAGUUACAAAAGGUCCUUAAAAAAAAGGAAAACAAACAAACAAACAAAAACCCAACAAACAAAAUAAUCCCACCUCUUCUAAUCAUGAAUGACUAAACGUGACUCAGUAAGGUCACUAAUACUGUCUUCUACACUGAAGGAGGAGAAAAAGACCUUGUGUGAUGAACGUCUAACGAAAUAAUACUAUGGUUUCAUUCUCAGCUAGGAUCAAACUGUAUGCUCUUUAUUUCUCCUCAUAUCCUGCAUGAUGGGGUUCAGACAGAGGGCUUGUUUGUAUUCACACUACACGAGCACCUCUACCAGUGGUAGUGAACUAGAAAUAAUAAUGCAAACCUCUUAGUAAGUUAUAAUAUCCCUGAACACCCUCCUGGUCCAUGGUGACAUCAUGAAUUUGAUGCCUUUUUACUAGAUAAAUGGACACAGCAGAGGAGGAGAAGACAUUUUCUUGCUGAAAGUGUAACACUGUAUUCCUCAGGAGAAAUGACACAUACAAAGUUAUAGAAAUCAAAUAUAAAAUCAGAAUGACGAGAUCUGUGGAAAUUUGAAUACAUAAUAUCACUGCUAUAACUCCUCAAAAAAUCAAAAUGUGGAGGCCAAUUAGGUGAUUAAAUUAAGCUGAAACUGACUUUCUGAAGUUCAUAAAAAAUUAGGAGUAGUAAGAGAAACUAGUUAGUUUUUUAUAAGCAAAUAGGAAUGUCAAAUGUAUAUAAGAAAAUUGAUUGGGUUGUGGUAUUUUUGUUGUUGUUGUUGUCGUUGUUGCUUUUUUAAUACUUAUUAACCUAAGAGACCUGUUGUCAGGGCCUUAUUCUGAGUUUUUAGCUAUUUUAAACUCAUAACUGCUGGAAUCAAAUGAUUCCACAAGAAUUUCAUCUCUUGUAAAAUAAAAUGUUAGUAGCAAAAACAGAACUUGAAAAUUUGGUCAGAAUAAACCCUAAGAUCUCAAAAAACCAAACCAAACCAAACCAAAACAACAAAAAACAAAACAAAACAAAACAAAAAAGAACACAGAAUCAUAUAUUUCUUUUUAAGCCAUUUCCAUGUUUCCAGAGCCUGAUGUAUUUUUUUUAGGCUCCUUGAUUUUAACAGUGCACAAAAAGAAGGAGCAAUACAUAAUAAUGACAUUACAGCAGUACUAUUCAGAAAGUGGAAGAAAUAACAGAAAAAAAUGUAACUGUCCUCCAUUUAGUCUGAAGCUGCACUGCAAAAGGGAAUGAAUUAGUGCUUGUAGCAAACGUGUCAUUGGAGCUAUGAUUUUAUAGGGGCAAAUUUUCAGCAUUACAUAUUAACUGAGAAAUAAAUCAAACAAAAAGGAAAGACUUAAGCUCACAGAACCUCCUGCCUCAUAACUUUUCUGAAAGCUUGAAAAUCUCAGAGAAAGAGAUUCAUCUCCAGUUGCGCAUGGACAGCUUGGUAAUAAAUAAAUAAUAGAAGAAAUCUAAUAAUUAAAGACUCCAGAGAGAGGUCUUAGGACUGGAGGAAAAAAAGCACCAAAGCAGAGAGGCUUCAGCUCAACUGUGGUCAUGCAUCUAUCAAUUUGUUUUGGUGCACAAAGGGGGUAACUUUGCAGGAGGAUGUGUGCUGCUGAUGGGUACUGCAGGCAGGAAGCAGAGCUGGGGUGCAAGUGUCAUGGACAGACAGUGAAAGCAGCAGAAGCAGCUUCCCAUAAGCGGGCAGGGCUUCGGACGGUUGCUCACUCAUUUUCCCACAGUUAAAAGCUGACAAACUUGAAACGGUUAGGGGCCGAUAAGGCAAGUGUAGUUAAAAAGGAAGGAAAGGUUUUAAACACCUGAGGCCAAACUUCUAUCUUCUGUUGAUCUCAACUGGAAUAAAAUAAUAUUUGCAAGCCCAAGAUGUGACUCCUUGUCUCUUGUACAUAUUCUGAAACCCAUAGAAAUUGAUCAUGGAGUAUUUCUGGCUUUUCUGGCUGACCACACCAUAGACAUUGCUGUCCUCAUGUACAAACAGUUCUGUGCUUGCAGUAUGUCAUGCUAUAGGUAAAUAGUGCAUUAGCACAUUCACUCACAGACAUGUAAUUAUGGAUAGUGCUCUAAACGGAAGAGGAGAGAUACCAUUUGCAAGUAAAACAGACUGGUCCCAGGUUAAGUUACAGUUACCAAACAAAAUGGAGGCAGUCUUCAGGCCCUGACAAGCAGCUGCGAGUAAAACCUGUUGAACAAGUAAGACAUCAAAUGUCCUGUGGCAUCGGAAAGCAAAAAAUCUGAUAUUUGAUUUUUCUUUCUCUUGAAAGAAGCACUUCAUCAUGUAAACCCAAUUCUUUGUUUCGUGAGUGGGCCUGGACUGCCACUGUUCAUUACUAUGGGAGUCGAUGUAGAAAUCAACACAGUAAUGCCUUUCAUCUCUUGUAUUAUAAGAAUUCAAAUUCAAUUUUUAUUUUACAGCACAGACACAUAAUACCUCACAGUAUGGUUCUUGGUUGCAACCAUCCGUUAACAAUGGUUUUGAAAAGAGAUAUAGAACAUAAAAAUAAAACCCUAUUUUUCCCCCCAGUAGUUUGUUUCAUCUUACGAACAAUAGCAAUUCACCAUCUAAAACACACAGUAAUAGUAAGUAGAUUCUAUUAAACACUGUAUUCUUCCUAAUUUUAUUUAUUUAUUUAUUUAUUUAUUUUGACCACUGACAUAGUUAGCUGUUUCACAAAACCAGUGGUCUACAAAGUCUGGCCAACUGAUGCCUUUGCCAAUAGUAUACUAGGAUGCUAAGGGCCUUUCUUAGCUCCCAUACAGCAGACUACUGCACUUUUUCUUAUGCCAGUCAUGGAACUGCAAUACCAUGGGAACACUUAGACCUACAGUGUUUUACAGUGGGGUGCGUGGCCUGAGGUUUACAUGACUAUAACUGAUGCUGAUCAUGUUCUUAAUAAUUUACUCAGGUUCAUAUAUCUGCAUGUUUUACAAGGCUUUCAGUCUGAGUGUUUGACAAUAGCGUAUGCAUACGGUUAAGUGUGAAAGCCAUUACCCAAACAGGUGGACUAACUUUCUGUACAGUGUAUCUUUUAAAGUUGCGUGGUCAUCAUUCCUCCUUUGUCAGUGCUUCUGCUAAAGUGUCAAACUGAGGCUCUUUGCAACCAGUGGUUAGCUCUGUGGUCUAGAGACUGUUUCAUAAAGGCCCUAAAGAUAUUUCAGAAGCUAGGUGGCCCAGCAGAUUCUUUCUCUGGUUAAAAUGCAACAAAAUCCCAUCAGCCUCAGCAGUGAUCAGAGCAACAGAGGAAACAGCAACAUAUGAAAAACAGGGAUGGAGAUAUCCAAAGUAAUCUCACUAGUUUAUGUUAAGAAAGGAUUUGACAGACCUGCUGUGUUCCUACUUAAUGUCAAUCAAGCCUGAGAGGGACCACUUCAUCUCAGGUAUUUAUCUCAUACUGAUUUGAAUUAUUCUCACUUCUUGAUUUGGAAAGUCCAGAACAGAAUACCCUGAGAAGUGUGUGUUGACAUAUCCUACAUAAAACAAAAUUAAACCAAUCCAAGUCAAGGAAAUAAACAAUGUGACAUGAGAAUUGGGCCCUUUGAGUUUGACAACAAAAGUAGUCAAAUGUAGCUCUCAGUCAGGGCUGUAAGUUCUCAGAAAUUCUUCUGGGAAGUGAAAAAUCCAUGAAUUCCACUGCAUCAUCUCCUUCAUACAAAAAGGAUAAGCAAAACACGUGCAGGAAAAAUCAGCUAUAUUAUUAAUCUCUCUUUUUGCUGGUAAUCAAUAUAAGCCUUAUGUUUCUGUUGCAGACGUAACAGUAACUAAAGAGCAGCAUUCGCGGUUAAGUCUGGAUUGUCCUUCUUCAUUAGCCUAAUUCUGUGCAUAUCAAAACUUAUUCAGAAGAAAUUGUUUUAAAUGGUUACCAAGAUAUAAAUGAUUAUCACUGAAAUCACAGGAAAGAUAGUGCUUACCAAAACCCCAAGAAAGUACUUCAGACAAUUUUUCUUUCAUUGCCAAGCAGCGAAGGUCAAGUGAACUGUACUAUUUGCAAAUAUCCACCUUCCCAGUCUGUCACGAGCAGCUGUAACAUACCCACCAGCAGCAAUUUCCACUUGGAUCUAUCCAGAGGGAAGAAAGUACCAGGAAUUGCAUUGUUUAUAAUUCCCUCAACGCCAAGGGUAAUUCUGUUCACCAAUUACUUGAAAUUAAAGCUAGGUAAUUUGACACGUCUGUUUGGUACCCAACCACAAAAUACCUCUUAAGCAAACCAAAGAGUUGGAAAGUUUACUUCCACAAUACUUUACAGAAUUUCAUUAUUGCAGCCAUGACAGUAAAGUACAAAUGAGAAGUUACAUAAACUCAUGAGUAGCUGGGGUUUGGAGGGGAACGGAGUUUGUCAUUGUUGCCAGUGUUAAGGAAUGCCAAUGGGUUUGACACAGAGCUGGAAGGCAGUUUUCUUCCAAGGAUGAGGCUUCCCAAUCAAAUAUAGCAAAUAUAGUAAGAAUUGAGCAACAAGAAGCUUCCAAGUGCAAUGUUGGACAGAAAAAGAAUGCUGUUCUCUGCAAUUAGGAGUGUUCAUACGUUGUGUCUUUGCAUGCAGUUACAAUGCUUCCUAGAAAAAGGCAAUGCAUAUGCAGAGAAAGAAUUACCCAUAUUAUCUACAGCCGGUAUUUUUUUUUAUCUUUAAGUCCACUCAUUUAAGUUACAUAAUUGAAGCCUGAGUUAGAUUAUAUCUAGGCUUGGAUUUUUUUUAAAGUCAAAUAAACCUCUUAAACAUUACAUUGGUGAUGAGUUUGUGUACACACCACUUCCGUAUCUCUUUGUGAGUAACAAACUAGCUGUCAGGUAUCUCCACUGAACUGCAUGACUCACUCCGUGGAUUCAUUUUACAAUCUGGUAAAACCGGUAACUGAUAACACCUAUCCUUUGUAAGAACUUUUUAGGUGUUUUAAUUUGACAAAUGAACAUUUACAAAAAUGAAUAAAUAAAAGAUUAGACUGAUGAAGUUUAAAAACACAAAAGAUGACUCAAAAAUCCAUUCACUCAACAUUAUUUUGAGCAGUAUAGCUAAUGUCAGUGAAGUGAGCCUAGUUCUCCUUUCCAUCAGGAUAAAUGAGGUGUAAUUUCAAAGACACCAUUAUCCUUAAACAGUGUAAAAUAAGUGAACAAGAAAUACAGAGCCACUAUCUUUUACUAGUCAGAGGAGUCAAUUUUUAAUUGUGUAAUCUCGAUCUUGUUAACAUAGCUUCCUAUUUAGAAACUUUAGUGCCAAAUAAGUAGAAGGUGCUAUAUUUUUUAACUCUGAAUAUGAUUACCCUUUCAACCAUAUUCUGCAUUUCAUUUUUACUAUAGAAGUUGUUCGUUGUCCAAUUUCAAGCUGAAAAACUAUAAAAGUCCAUUUUGACUUCACUAUAGAAGAACUAAAAGUUUUUUUUUUUUUUUUUUAACUAGGAUUAAAUUGAUAUAUCUAGAGCUUCAGUCAUUGUAAUAUGACAUUAGGAGCAUAGUCAAAUACUAGCUUUGACUAUAAGUGUCCUACUAAAGUAGCAGUCUACUGCAGAGUGCUUUUUGAUGUAUCAAAGAAAUGGUACUAUCUUUCAAACUGCAUUCAUAUUCUAACCUCCUAUCAUCAAGGUAAAGUAAUAGCAGGACUAAAGCAUGAUCUUUUUUUACAGUUUAUAGAAGUCAAUGCUAUAAGGGAUUGCCUAGCCUUCCAUUAGAUAUUCAUGUUUAAAUGAACCACAUAUAGGCUUUCCAAUCUACAAACUCCAUUAAUUAGGUUUUCUCCUUUUCUCUGUCUUUUAUUUUAGGCUUCUUUACCUUCUCCCCUGCUGACACUGCUAUAGCUUCACUAAUGACAGGCCAAGUAAUUUUUCUUUCCCUAAAACUGAAACACUCUUACUGGAACUAUUCACAAAUAUUUCAGUCUAAUACACUUGACCAAUGACUUCAUUACUUAGUGGGUAGAUAAAUUUUUACUUCAUUAUCUUUCAGAUCUGCCACAAAUCAUAUAGAAGGUUCUACCUCAUGAGACUGUUUUUGUUUUGCAAAAACAAACAAACAAACAAAAAAACUUGGUUAGUAGACAAAAUGUCUUUAAAAAAUUCUUCACAUUUAUAGCUUUGUUAUGUCUAUACUAUGUACAGCAGACAGACAGGCAGACAGAGAGUAUACAGCCAUGGGGGAAAAAAAAAAAAAAAAAAAAAAGUAGCAUUAGGAGGAUCAGAGCUGGAAGUGAAUCCCCAGAGGUGGUAAGGUAUGUGUGACAAGAUAACAGAAUUUGGGUUCCCUUUUUUUCCUGGGAACGUUUCCCCACAUAUCUCCUCCACUUUUUCUUUUCCCCUGGAAAGAGCAAGUUUUCAUCCUGAGAGUGGUAGAAUCAAUUCUAACUUUUUUGUUAGUGUGAAUUUAGGACAAAAUAUAGAACUCCACAUUCACGCAGCAAUGGGGAAGAAUCUCUAAAAAUGAUUAUUUACAAAUGAAACAAUGCAUUUAUUUUGAUAUUGUUGAAUUGUGUCACUGAAGUCCACAAGCUUUCUCACUGAAGAGCUUAAAAUACUGAAUAUAUGAUAUGAAUACUACUACAGAAUAAAAUAAAAUUUUGAUAGGAUAAAUUCAGAAGAAAAAAGCAGAAAUGAAUUAAUCUACUUUGAUUUUGAGGCAUUGAAAUAGUUUCUGUUGACUAUAUUGUUAAAAUCAGCAUGUUCUUGUACAGUAUUUAAAAUACAACCUUUCUGAAAACAGUUUUUGAUCAACUUUAUGUAGAAGAAAAUGUUAUUUUUAUUGUUUUUACCAUAAAUGCAUGAAAGGUAUUCAUAAUGACAGACACUGCUGAUGAAAAGAGCCAGAUUAACACAAUGGGUCCUUCCCACAGAACGAACAGGUAAUUAGGGAUGGUAUUGCCAUAUUCAAAAUUGCUCUUUUGUAUCUGAGUCUGUUCUAAAACUGGACCAGCAAACAGUUCAAAUUCCAGACACCUUAAUCAAGCAAAAACCAAUCUUAAUUUCAGGUCCUUCUCCUUCUAAAUGAAGUCUGCAAGAGUAACAAGAAUUGUCCAGUAAAAAUGUGAAUGUGUUGUAAAUGCUACAUGGGAACCCAUGGCUAAAUGAAAGAAAAUGAAAAUAAAAAACUGUUAGUCAUAGACUUAUAGAAUGAUUUGGGAUGCAAGAGACCUUAAAGCCCAUCCAGUUCUAACCCCCUGCUGUAUGCUGGCUGCCACCCCCCAGGUCAGGCUACCCAGGGCCCCAGUCCAACCUGGCUCCAAACACUUUUAGGGAUGGGGCACCCUCAGCUCUCUGGGCAGCAGUGCCAGUGCCACAUUACCCUCUGAGUAAAUAAUUUCCUUCUAAUAUCUAGCCUGUAUCUCUCCUCUUGUAGCUUAAAACCAUUCCCCCUUGUCCUAUCACUGUUGGUCCAUAUAAAAAGUCAGUCUCCCUCCCCCUUACUGAAAGACUGCAAUGAGGUCUCCCUGGAAGCUUCUCCUCUCCAGGUUGAAAAAGCUCUGCUUCCUCAGCUUGUCUUCAGAGGACAGGUGCCCCAGCCCUCAUCCUUGUGGCCCUCUUUAGUUCUGUGUGUAAGCACUUCAUCACAGUAAGGAUGACAGCACUGGAACAGGCUGCCCAGAGAGGCUGUGGAGUCUCCUUCUCUGGAGACGUUCAAGACCCAACUGGAUGCCUACCUGUGCAACCUGGUCUAGGGAGUGAUCUCUAGAGGUCCCUUCCAACUCCUACAAUUCCAUGAUUCUGUGAUUCUAGAUCCAUACCAACUGUUCCCUGUUUUUCUUGUGCUGGGGGUCCUAGACCUGGACACAAUAAGGAGAUAACUCUCCAGUAUAGCUGGAUGAAUCUCCAAUAUCAGGAUACAAGAUAACCCUAGUACAGAUCAAAGAAAGUAUUUAUUAUACAAAACUUUUCUCCUGCUCUCAAACGUAAACACUUUAUCUACAGAAACAUUCCAGAUUUGGUCUGGAGGGCAAACUCUGGAAAUGAAAACUCUCCAUCUGUAGAUCCACAAUCAUAGAAUCAUCAAAUCCUUAGAGUUGGAAGGGACCUUUAAAGGUAAUCUAGUCCAGCUUCCCUGCAAUGAACAGAGACAUUCACAGUUAGGUCAGGUUGCCCAGAGCCUGAUCCAGCCUCACACUGAAAGCCUUCAGGGAAAGGGCAUUCACCACAUCCCUGGGCAACCUGUUUUAGUGGUUCAUCACUCUCAGUUUAAAAGACUUUUUACUUAUAUCCAACCUAAAUCUACCCUCUUUAAGCUUGAAACCAUUUCCUGAUUUCUUAGGUGACCAAUCAGUGCAACACUCAGGAGCAAGGUCUUAGAGACAUUCCUCAUCAGGAUUUCAAUCAUUUCUUCAUUUCAAUGUCAAAUGAUAGGUGGUAGCCAUCAUUGUUGAAUCAGUUCAUACUAACUAUGCAUCAAGACAUGCUCCCCCCACUAUCCAGAUUCUUCCACUUUCUCUUAGAUAUACAGAUCAAAUUUUAUUAAAUUCUUCCUUCUUGUCAAAGUGAAUUACAAGCAUCAGAUGGAUAGGGUUGAACAGCUUAUAAUGUGCACAUAGUAACAAUGCUUCCAGAUACAGUAUUGAAUGAAUGAUAAUGUAUGCUGAUACUGGCUCAGCUGACACGCUAUGUGGCCAAAAUUCAUUGUUACAUCAGAAAAACAAAAAUCAGGAAGGACUGUGAAGAAGGAACUUUCUUGCCAAAUUCAAAUCACAAUAAUGUUGGUAUCACUUGGGAAUAACAUAACUAAAUGGAUCUGAUUUUGCUGGCUGCAGCAGAAAUGACCAGAAAGGAAUGCUGGGCAGACCUUGCACUUCUCUGUAUAGUGCUUCUUCUGCAGCUCACGUGCUCCCAAGUCACACUGUAUAACAGCAAGUACAUGACAGCCUGGUGCCACUCUCUUGUUUCACAUUGUUCUUAUAUGUAACCCUAUUUUGCCUGCAUAAAUAGGGAGGAAUUUCCAAUUCUGCAGAGAUACUACAAGUUUAGUCAUGAAGAUAAUUAAGUCCUUUGGGCUUGAACUACCCAAACAUUUCAUACUUGAAAGAAAUUCAGAUAUGACUCUUAAUGCCUGGACUACUGCCAUCUAAACAGUUUGGAUUCAUUUGAGGUUUAAUAUUAGCUCCAAAUUCUUCUUCACGUCAAUUCAUCAUUCAGAUAUUUACUAUUCCAAUUAUUAGUAUUAUAUAAUAGUCAGACAUUCUAAGAUACUGUACUGCCUACUGCUACCUACAUAUGAAAGCAAGCAUACAUCUUUCAAAAACUUCAAAUUUAAUCAGCAAAAAAUAGAAAAAAAAAUAUAUCAAAGAAGAAAAAAGUUAUUAAAGCAUUUUUCCAAAGAAAAGGAAACAUAGGAAGAGCCCAGUCAGUUGCCCCCUAAAAAAACACCAAUGAUCUGGAGGGAAACUCUUGAAGAUUAUAAUCUCCCAAAGCAAUGGGAAACUUCGUUACUAGGUCAUUUUACUAUGAACUUUUUGCAGCAAUAAUUAUUUCUCAUUUUUGUUGAUCACUGCAGUCAAAUAAAAUUAUUUUUACACAUUCCAGAACAUAAAGAACUCCAGCACUGAAAUAAAUAUUUUUUCCAUUGACAGAAACUUAGAUCUUGAGGAAUUUACCAAAAAUGUAGGUACGUCUUGAUACAACUGUGAUGGUCACAUAAAAGAUACCUUGAUACCGAAACAGGAACACUUGCUUAAAAUCAAGCUUCAGUGUCUAGAGAUCUUUGAAGGUAAGGAGAAAGGCAGAAGAGCUGCAUUUAUCUAGGAUUACAGAAUCACACAGAAUUGCAGGAGUUAGAAGGGACAUCAAGAGAUCAACAAGUCCCCAUUAGGACAUGCACCUCUGUGCAAGAUUCUCAGCAAUUUUACUUGCAUUUCUAAGUAGAGCUCCUAGAACCACCUUUGUUUGGAAAUUACUGUAGUAUUUUAGCAUCAAAACAUGACAAUGUCUGAUUAAUUUUAUAUUAUCGCUAGCAGUAAAUGUGUGCAUAUCAGUAUAUACACAUGCUAUGCCAAACAUUUUUUGAAUUAAUAUAAUUUAGGUCACUCAUAAGCCAUUUGAAAAACAUAAUUGCAAGAAAUAAAAUGAAACCUUUUAAAAAUUUUAUUGCAGUGUAAGGUUAACUCUGAGCUGACUAAAAUCUGGAUACCUUUCAAACCUAUGUUCCUCAUGUGGAGAGCAGUGGGAUAAUUCAAGCUUAGCUAUCUGAUACACUUUCUUCAGGUCUCUGCAGAAGUAAUUAAAACAGAAUAUGGAUAAAUCAUUUGCCAACUUUCAUUUUUAUUCAUAGGCUAAAUUUUAUUCUAAAACUAAUACAAAGCCAUAUUUUACUGUUGAUCAAUGUAAAUCCGAAAUGAUUGUGAGAUAGAAUACGAUUCACUUAUAUUUAAGACUAACAAAUGAAUGUCUUUUUCACAUAGAAAGGGCUUCUGAAGAGUUAUGUAAUUCAAUUUUGUCUUGAAAAAAAUGUGAACUCAGAAUUAUCAAUACUCAUGAAGCAGGUGAAACUGCGUCUUUAUUAUGAAUAGGAGGGUUACUUACAUGACUUGCUUAUGAUCUGACACCCAGAUUUAUUACCUUGUUUUGGACUGAUAUUUUUAUAAUAAUUUCCUGCCUCUUUAGCUUCUCUUUCAGUGGUGAUGUAAUGCAUUACGAAAUGAAGAGAUGAGACUGAAUCUCAAAGAUCUUAGAAAGUUCUGUCCAGUUGAUUAGGGACUGAAAAGAUUUUUUUACCUUUCAAGGUUAAAUAUUCCCAGAUGAGUCCUAUGCCUAAAAGCUUAGUCCUGCUGUUUUUCAACUAAUCAUUUGCAAAACUGAAGGAAAAAUAAAAAUUAAAAAGGUAAGACAGAAAAAAAAAAAAAAAAAAAAAAGAGAGACUUCUGGUAGGUGAGCCACAGCAGGGCAAUUAAGAUGAUAUGGCAGAGGUAGACAUCUGCUCCUAGACAGAUACAGUUCCACUGAUGCUAUCUAUAGCUGCAAUCCUUCUGAGAGAUAAACAACGUGCGAGAGCAACGCACAGAAGGAAAUACCACACUGAGAAAAUGAUGAUGGGAGACCAAGCUUGCGGCCCCUGUGGUCUGAGAAAGAGUGAGAGGCAGCAAAAGAAAAAGGGAGGGGUGACAUGUGGGGCCUGUACCAGGCACACGCAGGUGACUGAGUCGUAUGAUGGACACACAUCAAGAUGUAAAGCUGGAAGCUGUGUGAGAACUGACGCUGGAGGGGAGCAGAAUCACAGCAAAGAUGAAAGGCUGGACCUAGGGCUUGAUUUGCUUCCACAAAAGAUCAACAGCAUCGAAGUCUCAUCCUGUCAUCCUAUCUCACGCCGUUACCUCAAACCAAAAAUGCAACUCGUAAUAAUUCUUCCUGGUUACCCUGUGGUCUCAUUUGGUUAAAAAUAAAAGUUUCUUUUCUCUGUCUGGGAACAAGACAGCAAUAUCAAGAAGAAGAGUUUAAUUAAAAACUGGAGCUAAUCUCAAGACCUCAUGCUUUGGAAUUUAUUUAUUUAUUUUUAAUGUCUGCGUAUGAAAGGCUCUUGUCCAGAAAAACCUUGCCUAGAAAGUCUGAAGUUUUCUGUGUAUCUGAAGGAGGCAGAGGUGGACUUAAUGCCUUUAACAAGCAAUUCACUUGAGGCUAGAUUCUGCUAUCCUAACUCAGUUUAUACCCAAAGGUGGCAAAUUUAAAUACUUCUUCUGUCGACAGGUUGCUCAUAAAUAGAUAUAAACAGACGGCAUUUACCUCCGAUGUAUUCAUUAUGGAAAAUUGUGCAAUAAGCCUUAUUGUUUGUUUAACUUCACUCGUCUUCCUUAUUCUAGAGUGCAAUCAUGAAUGUUUGAGUGAUGUAGAUGUUGGUUUUAGUUAGUUGUUUAUUGUUUUCGUGGUUUUUUUUUUUUAGACUCUUGCAUUUUUCUUUCUUUCUGCUUAUUUUUAAUUUAUUUCACAUUCACACACAUAAGCCUCAACUUUUCUUUCUGAGACAUGAAAGCUGGAAAAACUCUGUUCUGUGAGUGCGUGCAGAAAGUGAAAGAAAAACAUAAAUGGUAAAUAUCUAAUGUACAUUAUUCCAAAAGCUUAAUUUUUGAAUAUAAGUGUGAAAUAAGGUCAUCCCUUUAUUAAAAUUCACCUAGAUCUACGUUAAAGUAUCAAAACAGGAAUGGUAUCAGGAAAGAACAAAGCCCUCCUACAAAUGUGUUAGUUAUUAAUGUAUAAUUUCUCCUUUUAGAGUACAAUUCUUUCAGCAUAUCCAGCAAAUAAUUCAAAUAUUUGUAGGCCAUCAUAAAAGAUCUGAUAAUUUAAGCUAGUAAAGGAAAGCUGUAAUCUUGGAGAAAUCCCCUUUGGAAUAUCUACAGUGACCAUCUAUCAACAGAGAAAGACAGUUCCAGAGAUAAAACCCCUAAUGUUCAUCAGAGUGUAAUAAUUUUUGGACAUUACAAGUGCUAAUGUAGCUUUGCUAUUCCCAGCUAGUAAUUCUUGGGGAAUCUGUCAGCUAUGGAAAUCUGUGAGAUUAGCCCUGAAAUAUAUACUUGAUUGAUAACUAUACUGUUUCUAUUAUGCUAUGGUCCUGCUUUUUUUUUUUUUUUUUUUUUUUUUUUCGAUUUUUAAGUGUAGAGUGUAAUAUCUGGGGCUUCUGAAAGAAACUAAAGAUUUACUACAGCAUAGAAGUACCCUUCAUUCCUUUUCUUUCAUGCUUUCUAAUGCAGAAAUAAAUAUGCAUAAAUAAUGCAGAAAUGAAUAUUCAUAAACAUGAAACUUAACAUGAGGAACUUUAGAAAAACAUUUAAAAAUAUAUUUUGGUGUAUGUUGCAUUAUUCAAUUUUAACCUACCAUGGUACUUUCAGGUGACAGAUUGUCAUUAUGACUAUGCUUCCUUUUUCACUGGAGUCUAUCACUUCAGAGAGUUCCCACCCCCAUCUCAGCUUUGCUUUGCAAGCUUUUUUAUCUUUUCUACCUUGCUAGAGGCAUUAUUAGGGCAGUUCACCUUUGACCAAAUGGGCAGACGAACAUCCAUCCUCUGGAGCCAAUACUAGUGCUGUUUGGUAGAUGAGCUCUCAAAUGGUACUGAACUGUGACCUCUUCUUCUGUUCAAAGACUAAAUACAUAAACUUGAGCCUCCAUUGGUGCCAAGCCUGGGAACCUGAGUUGCUCCCUAAUCCCAGGUCUUGCAGCCAGCAGCACAAUGGGCAGCUCACCAUGCCAGUCAGCCAGCCUGAAAGAAUGUCUUUAUUCUCUCUUCCUCAACAAAUUGCUUAUUGUUUGGCCCACAGGCUGCUAGACCUUGUGAACUGUCCAAAACUUUAUUGCCUUUCUGUUAAACUUUCUUCUUUUUUCCCUUUGAUUCUGUUUAUAAAUGAAAUGAAUUUAUAUUUUCACUUCUUAGCAGUAUCAUUUUUAAAGAUGACUGUUACUUUUAAUCUUUUUUUUCAGAGUACAUCUGCCUUUUAGAAGCCUGCAGGAACCACAGAAAUAAUGCAAGCUCUGCAGGUUUAGGGUCCUUAGAAAGAAGGGUCUGGGAAAAUGCUAAAUGUUAUAAUACAGUAAAAUGAAGGCAAAUGAUUCAGGUGUUUCCAAAGAUACUGUUUCUCUGCUUUUGGCCUCAUCUUGACUGUGACUGCCCUGUGUCUAUUGUAUAAACAUGGGAUUCUGAUUCCAGACGUUCUACCAGCCUGACAUCCACUGGGAAAGUGAUGACACCAUAAAUUAUUUAGAGGUUUGAAAACCAUGAGAACUACUGUAUAUAACCAGAUUGGAUUGACUUUUUAACUCUUUUGAUUAAUAAUACAUAAAGCCUUGGAUAUGUGAAGUGGUUGAGUGCUAACCUGUUAACAAAAGGAGUAGCAGAGAUGAAUUCUAACAUUUCUCAUAAGUUAUUCUACUUAACACAUUGGCCAAACAAAACAAACAAAUGAAAUGCUCUGCCUUAGUCUUAUACCUUCAGUGCACCAUCAAUAUUUGAUGGCUACCUAAUGUCUCUAUAUAUCUGGCCACCAAUGAUAUUUUGAUCAUCUGGCUUACCAAUUUCAGUCUUAGCUUCUUUUUCCUGUAUUUGUGAAAACAUGCCACUAGAAAGUAGAAAAAGAGUUUCAAUAUCCUGGUUUCUUUUCUGACUUUCAUUUUAACAUUACUAACUGCUCAGAUGUGAAAAUGAUAUUUCAGCCUUCAAAAAAGCAAGUGAAAACCAGAAUUUCCUAGGUUUAUGGUAUUUUUUCUCUGCAGCAGGAUGGGAGUAGACAUUUGCACUUCUACAGAUAGAUUUCAUGUUCUGCAUUUCUGCUACUGACCCUGUUUUAAUUAUCCACUUGUUUCUUAAGUUUUGUUCUUUUAUAGGUUGCUUUGGGUGGAGCUUUCAGAGAAAAGAGACACUGUUAUUUCCUUCCUAUUGAAAUACAGAAGAUGAUGCUCAUGACAGCCUGCAUUUCUGAGCAACAGAAAAAGUGACAAGAGACGUCACUGUGCUUCUGGGUUGCCUGGCCCGUACUUCAGGAGAUAGGCUAUUCAGGGUGAUUUCAGAGCAACACAUUAAUUUACAAUAGAAAUAUAUAUGUAUAUAUAUAUUUCUGUGCAACUCUCUGGAUGUUUUUGUAUUAUCCCAAAUGACAUUUGACUUCUUUAGAUGUAGAAACAAUAUGAAACACAUUUCUUUACUCAUUCCUGUGCACUUUUCCCUUGCGAUUUCCCAUAGAAUUCAAUUUUCAACUUCUUUCUGCACAGGUACUGGGUAUCUAUUCAACCUGCUGCAUGUCCAGCCAAUAUUAAUCAAAUACUAAUACUAUCAGUUACAGAUACUAGUACAUUCUUUUUACCACCUGAUAUGCCCACAGAAUUCUCCUUCCUUGAUCCCUCUAAUGUCAGAAAUACCUGGAGGCCCAUGGCCCUCUUCUAAUUUUUUUAAACCUUGCAGACUAACCAUUCAUCCUCUCCCUGUCCAGUACCAAUGAUGCCUCACCAAUCAUUCUGGAAGCUAUAAGAUCUGUGUGAGAUUAAUCUAUGUUUAAAAGAAUGAAUAAUUCAAUUCAAAAGCAUGCUUUAAAAUUUUUGUUAGUCCAGGCUCCUCAAUUUGUUCAAUUAUUUUGUUGUAAAUUUUUAGUGAUGCCUUUACUGCAAUAUAUUUGAAUUUCCUACAAUAUGAGUAAAACGAGUCUCACCUCAGCUUUAAGAAAUGAGGACCAAUUUAAGAAAAUUAUAGCAGCCCACCAAUUACACCUGAACAAGGCCUUGCUUGUGACACCAAUAAUAAAUUAAAUUAUUCAGCAAUAUUUAUUAAAUGUUAAUGAGUACCAUCACCUGACUUCCACAAACAGAAGUACUGUGUGAAAUCUGUUGUCAGGUACUGUUUCCUUUUCUGAAAGGAAGUAUCAUCCAAUUUGCGUACAGAUUCUCUCCCCACUCCAAAAAGGAAGUAUAUCCAUAAAAAUAAUUAGAAUCUCUUCUAUAUAAAUGCAUAUGUCCCCCUUCUAUUCUUAUAUUCCCGCCAUAUCAAUAACAGUGUAGUCACAUUGAUUUCCUAGUUAUGAUUAAAUAUAGCACUCAAACAAUUUAUUCUCAUUCUUAAAAAAAUUCUAGAUGUGGUGUUAUUUUUGCAUAUUUUCUUGCUGCAUCUUAAGGUCUAACCGGGUGACUGAGAUCAGCAUCUGACUUUACCAGAAUAGCAUGGAUCUUAGUAUUUUUUGCAUAGUAUCUUUCAACAGCCAUAAUAAAUAAAUAAAUAAACAAACAAACAAACAAACCAACAUUUGUAUUUUUUUUCCAUCUGGGAUUAUGUGACAAAAUGAUCCCCUGCAUCUAAUCAAUUAUU